AUUUAUCUGAAGAGUUCCAAAUAGAACGAAAAGUACGCCAUGGAU
rnacentral:hammerhead_ribozyme from 1 species